AUUGAACGCUGGCGGCAGGCCUAACACAUGCAAGUCGAACGAGUGGCGGACGGGUGAGUAAUGUCUGGGAAACUGCCUGAUGGAGGGGGAUAACUACUGGAAACGGUAGCUAAUACCGCAUACAAGCAGUUGUGCCCAGAUGGGAUUAGGUGGUGGGUGGGGUAAUGGCUCACCACGACGACGAUCCCUAGCUGGUCUGAGAGGAUGACCAGCCCGACCUGAACUGAGAAACGGGCCAGACGCCUACGUGAGGGAGCAGUGGGGAAGAUUGCACAAUGGGCGCACGCCUGAUGGAGCCAUGCCGGGUGUAUGAAGAAGGCCGUCGGGUUGGAAAGUACUUUCAGCGGGUAGGCGUUACCCGCAGAAGAAGCACCGGCUAACUCCGUGCCAGCAGCCGCGGUAAUUC
rnacentral:rRNA from 1 species